GACGAACGCUGGCGGCGUGCUUAACACAUGCAAGUCGAACGGAAAGGCCCUGCUUUUGUGGGGUGCUCGAGUGGCGAACGGGUGAGUAACACGUGAGUAACCUGCCCUUGACUUUGGGAUAACUUCAGGAAACUGGGGCUAAUACCGGAUAGGAGCUCCUGCUGCAUGGUGGGGGUUGGAAAGUUUCGGCGGUUGGGGAUGGACUCGCGGCUUAUCAGCUUGUUGGUGGGGUAGGGGCUUACCAAGGCUUUGACGGGUAGCCGGCCUGAGAGGGUGACCGGAGAAAGUGGUGCGGAGUAGUGGCCCAGGCGCGGAAGCGAGAGGGCAGACGGGAGGCUUGGUGAAGGGGGCGAAGGGUGUAGCAGCCGCUCUGGGGGGGGAGGAAGGGGCGUCGGGUUAAAGGACGAAGGCGCCAGUGACUAAGCGGGCGCCAGGGGGCUGGGUAAAAGAGCACAGGCGCACCACGUC
rnacentral:rRNA from 1 species